GCGGGUAUGGUGUAACGGUAACAUAGCUGUCCUCAAUUAUAUGCGUCCAUGCACCUUGCAGAUGGCAGGACCGGGCUCGACUCCCGGCGCCUGCC